GCAGCCCGAUUGCAACAAGUAGCAUCAUGCAUGGUUCUCCCCAGUCAGAUGAUUCUUCCCAACACUCUGAUUCAGGCAUAUUACUGAUAGAGAAUGCAAGUAAUGGUGGCCUCAGCUACACUAGAUCGAGGCCUGCUGACUGUGUCAUUUAUUCUCAAUAUAUAUCAACUAUGUGUUCUGUUGCUAAAGAUCCUUACCCAAGAAUUGCAACUAUUGGUCGGAGAGCACUGUCCCUUAUAGGUGUCGAGCAAGUGGUCAUGAAAAACAGAUUUAACAGUGGAGGUGCACAUCAAGGGGAGACAUCUGCACCUCCAUCAAACUUUGGAAUGGCACGCUCUUCUUCCUGGUUUGAUAUGAAUUCUGGAAACUUCUCAAUUGCAUUUAGGACGCCCCCUGUUAGCCCCCCUCAACAUGAUUAUCUUACAGGAUUACGCCGAGUGUGUUCUAUGGAGUUCAGAUCACAUCCUAUGAAUUCUCCUGAGGGCUUAGCUGAUCCCCUUUUAAGCUCUGCUGCGGCUCCUAGUAAUGCUGAACUAAGCAUACUUCCCCAAUCAACAAUUUACAACUGGAGUUGUGGACACUUCUCUAGGCCACUUUUAACUGGUUCUGAUGAUAAUGAAGAGGCCCAUGCUAGAAGAAAAGAGAGAGAGCAAAUUGCUCUAGAUUGCAUAGCUAAGUGCCAGUGAUCAUCAGCUUGCAAGAUGACAAGCCAAAUUGCUAGUUGGGAACUUGGGAUACAAGGUUUGAUUCAGGUACAAAAGCAGCAUUAUUGUUGCCAUUUUCUCCAAUCGUCAUCGCAGCUGAUGAAAAUGAACAAAUAAGAGUGUGGAACACUGGAACUACGAUGAUGCACUACCAGUGAACUCUUUUCAAAACCAUAAAUUGUCCGACAGAGGGCUAUCGAAACUCUUGCUUAUCAACGAGCUUGAUGAGAGCUUGCUUUUAGCUGCCUCAAGUAUGCUUCACUUCUCUAUGCUUUUCCUU